rnacentral:hammerhead_ribozyme from 1 species
AUUCAACUGAUGAGUCACAAAUAGGAGGAAACAAGUGUUCUGGAU